CUACGGGUUGCUGCAGUGAGGGAUAUUGCGCAAUGGGGGAAACCCUGACGCAGCGACGCCGCGUGGAUGAUGAAGGCCUUAGGGUCGUAAAAUCCUGUCAGGUGGGAAGAAGUGGAUAUAGAUUAAUACUCUAUUUCUUUGGCGGUACCACCAAAGGAAGCACCGGCUAACUCCGUGCCAGCAGCCGCGGUAAUACGGAGGGUGCAAACGUUGUUCGGAAUUACUGGGCGUAAAGCGCGCGUAGGCGGUUUGUUAAGUCAGAUGUGAAAGUCCAUGGCUCAACUAGGGAAGUGCAUUUGGAACUGGCAGACUUGAGUACUGGAGGGGGUGAUGGAAUUCCCGGUGUAGAGGUGAAAUUCGUAGAUAUCGGGAGGAAUACCGGUGGCGAAGGCGAUCACCUGGCCAGAUACUGACGCUGAGGUGCGAAAGCGUGGGGAGCAAACAGGAUUAGAUACCCCAGUAGUC
rnacentral:rRNA from 1 species